GCCAAACAAAAUUUUUAUAUUUUCAGGAAAUCUCAAGUUUCCUAAAUAAUUUACCCCAACUAAAUCCACCACUUCUUUGACUAAAAACAUUGCAAGAUCCUCCACAACAACUGGAUUAUCCUGAGCAGUGUCAUCCGCAGAUUUUAUCAACAUAACAAACCCAUUCAACACAUCAUCCACUGGGUGGCACAAAGAUGAUAGCAAAACAGGAGCCAUUUCCUUUUCCCUAUAUUUUCUAUCCAUUGACAGGGUUAUCAAGCUUUUAACAAAGAUAGCAUUCAAUUCAGCAGAACUAUUACUGUUUUCUGAUUCAAGACGACUACUGUCCUCUGAAAUAUCACCAGACAAGAAAUAUUCUUGAAGGCGGAUUUGUGUGAAAGAGGGAAGAAGUGAUAGUUGGAAAAUAAAAGUAGAGAAAUUGAUUAGCAAUGAAGGCGGAUCUCCGCCGCUCCGCUGUGCCUUCUUAAACGGAAAAAUCGUUGGUCUGCUAACUGAGCGUAUAAAUGCAUUUAGACAAUUGAAUUGCACCAGACGACAUCGUAUCAGCCUAAGCAGCGAAGACAUGGCCCAAGGGAAAAAAUAAAAAUAAAAAAUUGGGAGUAGGGUUGGGCUUAUGUACGGGAGUGGUUCCCGCCAGGGAAACUCGGAUAAAAAAACGCGCCUGUUUACGCUGGUUUCGGAAGAGAAUAGAAAGCAAGGGAA
rnacentral:misc_RNA from 1 species